rnacentral:lncRNA from 1 species
CCAAGCGGCCAGUGCACAUGUCGUCCAUGACGCCCAAGCAAAUCAACCAGCAUAUGACGCCUAAGGGGUCCCAUGAGUUGAAGCUGCCCAUAGAUACUAAGCGGCCUAUGCUGCUCAUUUGGCCCAUGGCAUCCAAGUGGCUCAUGGAGCCUAAGGCUGCUAAAUGACACAUGUUGCCCAUGUUUCCCAUGGCUACCAAUAAGCACAUGCCGCCCAUGCCGCUCAUUUGGCCUAUCAAGGUUCAGGGAUUAGGGUUCAAGGUUUAGGGUUUAGCGUUCAGUUUUUUUUUCUAGAAACGAACCUUACCCGGGUCUCCCAUCUCCCAUGACAACCAGCGGUUGAGCCGCAUACCCCCAAGCCUUAUCAUAAAUAAACAAAAGAAAUACAAGAAGACAAACAUAAACCUUACCUUCGAUCCUAUAGUGGCUCAAAGUUAACUAGCCUACUAAGGCCGGUCGACUCAUCCCGAAUACUUGAAAUAAACCUAGAUCUAAGCAGCUAGAAGAGAGGACUUCUCUCAGUACAAUAUAAACUAGGAAAACUUAAAUAAGGGAGACUCUCCCCUUAUAAAUUAAAAAGAAAAUCAAAACAAAACUAAAUCACUUUAUAAAAGCUAUAAACAAAAGAAAAUAGCGUAGAUGAAGAAGAUAAGAUGGAGUAAAAGGAAACAAGUGGGAACAUAUUCAAGAAAAUCUAACUCCAAGUGAUUCUAAGGUGGUUUCUUUAUGCGUUUCAACUUUCUUCGUCUGAAAUUAAUCAUUGCCAUCUUGUCCAGCAUAUACUAACCUCUAAUAUCAUGUGCGAACUGAUGAUAAGUAUGGUACUGCUCCGUAGAAUUGAUCAUAUGACUCUGCUUGAAAAGAGUAUCUUCUGGAUAGUUUGCUAUAAAAAUAAUCAAGGAGGUUGAUCAAAUCCUGAAGCUCAGUGAUGUAAUGGAUAAGCUUCUAAGGAGGUGAACCUUAGAAGAAACAAUAAUCACCCAAGCAAAAAGCCAACAGAAGCCUUUUCCAUCAAAUCUGAGAAUGUAAGCUAUGUUUCCUACAUCUGCAGAGCCUUUUCCAUCUUUUUGCUAAUGUUUGGCUUCUUUUAACUUUUGAAUUCUUAUUGUGCUUGCAGUAUAUCAUUUGUUUCCUUUGGGAAUAAUCAAUUUUUUUUUUUUUGCUUGGGUGAUUAUUGUUUCCUCUAACCUUCAUAUGAUAUUAUGUAGAUCAAUAUAAAAAGUUUGUACCAAUUAACGUGAAAUCCCCGUGCAAUACACGUUAAAAAAAUUAGUAUAAAUUAGUAUAUAUAGAGAGAGAAUGUGUACUUUAUCUGUUCACUUUUACUUUUCAUAUUUUGACUUGACACCUCCACUGAGAAAAAUAAUUAUUACAUGGCUAUUUUACCAAAAAAAUCCCUAUUAAAUGAUGUACUAUUGUGUUUUGAAAUAAAUUUGAGAAAAAAUAAUUAAUGGUAAAACAUGAAAAAAAAUUUGUCAAAAAUGACAAGCAAAAAUGAAAAUUAAAUUACAAAAAUAGUGACAAGUAAAUUCAAAUAGAGGAAAUAACUAGGAAAAGAAACAGCCCCUAUAUAUUAAAAGAACAUUAAAGCACUUCAAAACUGUAUAGGCCUUAUUUGCUAUGUUGCAACAGUUAUAAUUUAUUGGAUUGGGAGUGUUCUGAUAAGUCUCCUCACCUGUUUUAAUGCCAUUGAAACGUUCACUUGCUUUAUUCAGAUGUAAGUCAUCUGGUUCAUUACAAGUUAUCAAUACACUAAUAGUAGUUGUACAUGUUUACAAGUUGGCUUUUCUUACCUCACCUUUGCUUAAUGGCAAUUUGGCUCUUCAAAGGUUCAGUAGACAGGCACAAUAUUGCAACUUUGAGCUAGAUGGAGAUGGAGCUUGGGAAUUAUCCUACCAAUUGUAGUGAGCUUAGUUUGCUAAUUGCUAUACAUGGAUUAUAAUAUCCAAUCUAAUCUCAUUUUGAUACAAUCCACUCCCCAAAAGCUAGCUAAUGGAGUGAGAGCUUAAGGCUAUAUAAGCCACACAUCAGUUACUUAAUAGAUGUGGGACUCAAGUCUCAUUCGCAAUAAUUCAAUAACAAACCACAACGCUCUGCAUCCAUCGUCCUCAAUGGUUGUGCGC